rnacentral:rRNA from 1 species
UACGGAAGGUGCAAGCGUUAAUCGGAAUUACUGGGCGUAAAGCGCACGUAGGCGGCUCAUUUAGUCAGAUGUGAAAGCCCUGGGCUCAACCUGGGAACUGCAUUUGAUACUGGUGAGCUCGAGUAUGUCAGAGGCAAGUGGAAUUCCAGGUGUAGCGGUGAAAUGCGUAGAUAUCUGGAGGAACAUCAGUGGCGAAGGCGACUUGCUGGGGCAAUACUGACGCUGAGGUGCGAAAGCGUGGGGAGCAAACAGG